GAUGAACGCUGGCGGCGUGCCUAAUACAUGCAAGUCGAGCGAACGGACGAGAAGCUUGCUUCUCUGAUGUUAGCGGCGGACGGGUGAGUAACACGUGGAUAACCUACCUAUAAGACUGGGAUAACUUCGGGAAACCGGAGCUAAUACCGGAUGAUAUUUUGAACCGCAUGGUUCAAAAGUGAAAGACGGCCUUGCUGUCACAUAUAGAUGGAUCCACGCUGCAUUAGCUAGUUGGGAAGGUAACGGCUUACCAAGGCAACGAUGCAUAGCCGACCUGAGAGGUGGAUCGGCCACACGGGAACGGAGAAAGGGUCCAGCCUCCUACGGAAGGCAGCAUUAGGGAUUCUCCCGCAAUGCGCGAAAGCCUGACGGAGCAACGCCGGGCGGGAGAUAAAGGUCUUCGGAUCGAAAAACUAUGUUAUUGGGGAGGAACAGAUGUGUAAGUAACUGGGCACGUCUUGACGGUACCUAAUCAGAAAGCCACGGCUAACUACGUG
rnacentral:rRNA from 1 species